UUUUUGUUUUCUUUUGUUCAUUCAUAUUUCUGGUUUUCAAAUUUGCAAUUUCAAACUCGAAUUUGAGUUGUGGUUUCCAAUCAAGUAUGCACAAUCCAAAUUCCAUAAUGGUUGCAUAGAAAGGUAUCAUUUUAUUAUUAUCUUAUUAUUUCAUAGUUUUAAGUAAAUGCCUACAAUCACGCCAUAAAGAAUAAUUCAUUCUAGGAGAAUAUCAUUUGUGGCUGUGUGAUCCAUUAGAGGUUAAAGUCAAUAAUAAUGAACCUAUGUUGUUUUGCUUAUUUUUAGAGAAGUAACACAUAUUCUCUUUUUAAGAAUUUAUAAACAGUGGAAG
rnacentral:lncRNA from 7 species